rnacentral:rRNA from 1 species
UUGAUUACGUCCCUGCCCUUUGUACACACCGCCCGUCGCUGCCCGGGACUGAGCCAUUUCGAGAAACUUGGGGACUGCUGAUCCGGUGGCUUCGGCCUCCGCUUCGGUGGAAACCAAUUUAAUCGCAGUGGCUUGAACCGGGCAAAAGUCGUAACAAGGUAGCUGUAGGUGAACCUGCUGCUGGAUCAUUACACGUACUGAUGGU